rnacentral:rRNA from 1 species
UACGGGGGGGGCAAGCGUUGUUCGGAAUCACUGGGCGUAAAGGGCGUGUAGGCGGGCAGGUAAGUCGGGCGUGAAAUCCCUGGGCUCAACCCAGGAACUGCACUCGAAACUACUUGUCUUGAGUGUCGGAGAGGAAAGCGGAAUUCCUGGUGUAGAGGUGAAAUUCGUAGAUAUCAGGAGGAACACCAGUGGCGAAGGCGGCUUUCUGGACGAUAACUGACGCUGAGACGCGAAAGCGUGGGGAGCAAACAGG